rnacentral:lncRNA from 1 species
CCCAAAUUAUACCAGGCCUAAAAUACAUAAGCCCAAAUUACAAAACCCAAACCCCAAGCCCAAGCUAAAAAUAGUGGCCCAAUUACAAUGUGGCCCAAAUGCCCAAAACAGUUUCAGAAAUCCCUAGGGUUUCUAGAGUAAAACUUCAGCCGCCACAACCAAGCCCCUCUGCACAAGCCGAAUCUCCACGAGCGAGCCUUCUCCAAACUUGUACCUGCACGGCAAGAAAGGCAACAAAGCAGUAUAGGUAGCAAAGAUGGCAAGAAAAUCAGAAAAUCGCGAAUCAAGC